rnacentral:rRNA from 1 species
GACGAACGCUGGCGGCGUGCUUAACACAUGCAAGUCGAACGGUGAAGCGCCUUCCUUUUUGGUGGGUGUGGAUGAGUGGCGAACGGGUGAGUAACACGUGAGUAACCUGCCCCCUUCUUCUGGAUAACCGCAUGAAAGUGUGGCUAAUACGGGAUAUUCUGGGUCUGUCGCAUGAUGGGUCUGGGAAAGAUAUUGUUUCGGUGGGGGAUGGGCUCGCGGCCUAUCAGCUUGUUGGUGGGGUGAUGGCCUACCAAGGCGGUGACGGGUAGCCGGCCUGAGAGGGUGGACGGUCACACUGGGACUGAGACACGGCCCAGACUCCUACGGGAGGCAGCAGUGGGGAAUAUUGCACAAUGGGCGCAAGCCUGAUGCAGCGACGCCGCGUGAGGGAUGGAGGCCUUCGGGUUGUGAACCCCUUUCGCCAGUGAAGCAGGCCUGCCUCGUUUGUGGGUGGGUUGACGGUAGCUGGAUAAGAAGCGCCGGCUAACUACGU